GUGUCAGCCGCCGCGGUAAUACAGAGGUCUCGAGCGUUGUUCGGAUUUAUUGGGCGUAAAGGGUGCGUAGGCGGUGUGGCAAGUCAAGUGUGAAAUCUCGGAGCUCAACUCUGAAACUGCACUUGUUACUGCCGUGCUAGAGGGUUGUAGAGGAGAUCGGAAUUCACGGUGUAGCAGUGAAAUGCGUAGAUAUCGUGAGGAAGACCAGUUGCGAAAGCGGAUCUCUGGGCAAUUCCUGACGCUGAGGCACGAAGGCUAGGGGAGCAAACGGGAUUAGAAACCCCCGUAGUCC
rnacentral:rRNA from 1 species